UCCAGACUCCUACGGGAGGCAGCAGUGAGGAAUAUUGGUCAAUGGCCGAGAGGCUGAACCAGCCAAGUCGCGUGAGGGAUGACGGCCCUACGGGUUGUAAACCUCUUUUGCCGGGGAGCAAAGAGCGGGACGCGUCCCGCCUCGAGAGUACCCGGAGAAAAAGCAUCGGCUAACUCCGUGCCAGCAGCCGCGGUAAUACGGAGGAUGCGAGCGUUAUCCGGAUUUAUUGGGUUUAAAGGGUGCGCAGGCGGAAGCGCAAGUCAGCGGUAAAAUCGCGGGGCUCAACCUCGCUCCGCCGUUGAAACUGGUUUUCUCAAGUGAGCGAGAAGUAUGCGGAAUGCGUGGUGUAGCGGUGAAAUGCAUAGAUAUCACGCAGAACUCCGAUUGCGAAGGCAGCAUACCGGCGCUCAACUGACGCUCAUGCACGAAAGUGUGGGUAUCGAACAGGAUUAGAUACCCCAGUA
rnacentral:rRNA from 1 species